rnacentral:rRNA from 1 species
GUCGAGCGAGAACCGUAGCAAUACGGGGACAGCGGCGAAAGGGACAGUAAUGUGUAGGUACCUACCCCCGGGUUCGUGAUAGCUGCGGGAAACUGCAGGUAAUACCGAAUAAUGUCUCCGGACCAAAGGUGUGAUUCCACCUGGGGAGGGGCCUGCAUCCUAUUAGCUUGUUGGUGGGGUAACGGCCUACCAAGGCAACGAUGGGUAGCGGGUGUGAGAGCAUGACCCGCGUCAUUGGGACUGAGACACUGCCCAGACACCUACGGGUGGCUGCAGUCGAGAAUCUUCGGCAAUGGGCGAAAGCCUGACCGAGCGACGCCGCGUGCGGGAUGAAGGCCCUCGGGUUGUAAACCGCUGUCGUAGAGGAGGAAAUGCAGGGGGGUUCUCCCCUUUGCUUGACCUAUUCUAGGAGGAAGUACGGGCUAAGUUCGUGCCAGCAGCCGCGGUAAGACGAACCGUACAAACGUUACUCGGAAUUACUGGGCUUAAAGGGUGCGUAGGCUGCGCGGAAAGUUGGGUGUGAAAGCCCUCGGCUCAACCGAGGAAUUGCAUUCAAAACUACCGUGCUCGAGGGAGACAGAGGUAAGCGGAACUCAAGGUGGAGCGGUGAAAUGCGUUGAUAUCUUGAGGAACACCGGUGGCGAGGGCGGCUUACUGGGUCUCUUCUGACGCUGAGGCACGAUAGCUAAGGUAGCAAACGGGAUUAGAUACCCCGGUAGUCUUAGCUGUAAACGAUGAGCACUUGAUUGGAGGGUCCUCCAUAGCCUUCCAGUCGUAGCGAAAGUGUUAAGUGCUCCGCCUGGGGAGUAUGGUCGCAAGGC